UCUGGCUAGCGAACAUCUUCGGCGGAGGCUGCCUGCUCCCGUCUUGUCUCUUCUUCACGGAAAGGGCAGCUUGUCAUCGGCUUGCCUUCUGCUGUUGUAAAGGCUUCAGCUUAGCCAUAUGUAGCUUCAGGCUCAAGUUGGGACUGGACCAAUGCUCGUUUCAAUACCAUGGUUGCCUACGGGGAUUGUAUGAUUCAAACAAAUAUUUAUGGUUAGCCGUUCAGAAUUUUUUGUUGUUGACUACCCAUUUCUAUGAUUGCUC